AUGAGCUAUGAAAACAUCUCUCGAGGAAGGAAAAGAAAACCCCUAUUUGCUCACAACAGAACUUGGGGUUUCCGAGGCUUCCCAUUUGUGGAAAAAGUGUACUCUGUUGGUUCCCACCAAAACUCGCGGAAGCGUUCCUUGCAUCGCUCACAAUCCUCUUCUUGUGCAUCUGGGUUGAUCUCGACACGCCCUGAAAACUGGAAGCGGAUCAUGGAGUGGACGAAGGAGAUGCUAUAUAUUUGUAGUCCGACCCUAGCCUAUGUGUUUCCACUGUAUGCAAUUAAUAUCCCAUCACAUGGAAAAUGA
rnacentral:rRNA from 1 species